GGUGCCGCCGCCGCCGCCGCCACAUGGCAACUGCGAAAAGCUCCCUUUGCGCUCGACUUUCCCGCGGGGGUGGUGGGAUUGGACGGAGAAGGUGGGCGGCAAGAAAUUGCUGACAUUGACUCUGGGUUGGGCAGUAACCAGGACGGCGAUUUCGGCAAAAUGAAGUCACUCUCUGCAGGAACCUUUUGUGUUGAGUCAAGGCAAACUGCAGUAGCAAAAGACAAAAACACUGUCACAGAACAAUUUUGGAGUGUGGAUUUCUUUCUCCAACAUGAUCAGCAGGCAUGCAAAAGUGCCCUAGAUGCCUGAAGCAACUGAAAGAAAACCACUUCUGCAAUUUUGCCAAGAAAACUGCAGGGACUAAUCCAACUAAUCACCAGGAAUCAAGGCUGACUCAAAGGAACAUCUACCUGGAUUCUUUCCAAAUGGGGUCCCUGAAGCAAGUCAUACUUCUGGAAUAGGGUAGCUGAUGAUCACAUGUCAGCUUACAGCUGAGGCAUUGGCAAUGCCUAUCUUAAGAGAGACUACAGAUUAGAAAUGACAGCAGUUUUCAAGUAUCUGAAGGGCUAUCAGAUGGAGGAUGGGUACAUUUGUUUAAUGUUGUUUCAGAAAACAGAACAAGAAACAGUGAACACUCACCACAAGGAAUAAGAUUUGGUUGGUCAUUACCAAAAAAGAUAAGUGCUGUAAAACAAUGCAAUAAAAAGCUGUGGGAAGUAUUUAUACAGAGGCCUGAUGGCCAUCUGUCAAGGAUGCUACACUUGUAGAUUUGUGAACCGGACAAGAGAUGAUCUUUAAGAUGACUCCCAAUCCUUGCAUUCUACCUUUCUAUGAUUGUUUCUGAAAUAAUUAUAGAUAAAUGAAAUCAAUUUAUGUGCAUUGAAAUAAAUAAGCUGGAAAAUGUAUAGAAAAAAUUGUUCUGGAAUGAACAGCAGAUACUAUUUCAGGACAAAAGAAGGUGUGAGGUAAUGGUUAUGAUCUGUUCAACUUCUUCCUAUCAAAUUCACUUUCCAAUAGCUGCAUUCAUGCAAUAUUACUAGCAUAUGUUUAAAAAUUAAGUGGUUCUUAAAAGCCAGCUGAAUGCAAUAUUUAAAAACAAACUUUAGUAUUGCAACUCUUGUACCAUGCAUGCAAGUCUGUUUAAAAGAAAUGAAAAUAUUUCAUUUCAGUAUCUUAGUCAAGCUGAUUCAAAGAUACCUAUAUCACCGAUUUAUGAAUCUGGUCAUAAGGCAACUGAUUACAUAAAAAUAAUAAAUUGAUACCAAGAGCAAUUUUAUUUAAACUGCAAUUUUUUUUAAGGUGCAGAGGCAUGCAAACAAAAUAAAUAUACUUGGGUCACUAC